UAGCUUGCUCAGGAACCUGAUCAGGAACUUGAUUGGGAACCUGAGGGCUAUGAUCCACGUCCUGUGCCAUUCUUAGAUCUGCAAUAAACAUAUAAAAUAAUCAAGCAAUCUAUUAGGUGUAUAAGAAAAAGACAUAUGAUAACAAAAAGUUUCCACCUAAAGGAAAAGGCAAGUGGUUCCAGUGGCUAUAAGAAUAUGUAUUGUUCAUCUUUAAUACCACAAAUUAUGCAAUAAAAUCCGAUAAUGGCACACAAGCACAAAAGAAUGAUACACAAAAUUAGAAGAUCAAACCCUGUAAGACAUAAAAUAAAUUAUUCAAAACCCUCUGCUAAAGCCCUUAAAACGAAAAAAAAAAAAACUUGAACUGGCAAAGCCAACACACUCUCUGAGGGCAUGAAAUGUCUAAUUUUUUGGUCAGAAUCUCAAUAGUUCACUCUACCAACUGAAUCCUCAUCUAUAUUUUGAUAUGAACUUAGACCAAUAAGGAAUAUCUCUUAUCUUAUAACCCUGAACAAGGAGCUGCUCUCGUUGUGAGAUCA
rnacentral:lncRNA from 1 species